rnacentral:rRNA from 1 species
UACGUAGGGUGCGAGCGUUAAUCGGAAUUACUGGGCGUAAAGCGUGCGCAGGUGGUUGUUUAAGACAGAUGUGAAAUCCCCGGGCUUAACCUGGGAACUGCGUUUGUGACUGGACAGCUAGAGUGCGGCAGAGGGGGGUGGAAUUCCACGUGUAGCAGUGAAAUGCGUAGAGAUGUGGAGGAACACCGAUGGCGAAGGCAGCCCCCUGGGCCAGCACUGACGCUCAUGCACGAAAGCGUGGGGAGCAAACAGGAUUAGAAACCCUGGUAGUCC